UACGUAGGGUGCGAGCGUUGUCCGGAAUUAUUGGGCGUAAAGGGCUCGUAGGCGGUUUGUCGCGUCGGGAGUGAAAACACUGGGCUUAACCGAGUGCUUGCUUUCGAUACGGGCAGACUAGAGGCAUUCAGGGGAGAACGGAAUUCCUAGUGUAGUGGUGAAAUGCGCAGAUAUUAGGAGGAACACCGGUGGCGAAGGCGGUUCUCUGGGAAUGUCCUGACGCUGAGGAGCGAAAGUGUGGGGAGCGAACAGG
rnacentral:rRNA from 1 species